AUGGUGUACCACGGCCUCAUGGUGCCCCUCAUUGUGAUGGUGCGUUCUGGGGCUUCGUUGGCUUCUUGGUGCCUUGGUUCAUCCCUGAGGGCCCUAACCGGGGAGUUAUCAUCACCAUGUUGGUGACCUGUUCAGUUUGCUGCUAUCUCUUUUGGCUGAUUGCAAUUCUGGCCCAGCUCAACCCUCUCUUUGGACCACAGUUGAAAAAUCAAACCAUCUGGUAUCUGAAGUACCAUUGGCCUUGAGGAAGAAGACAUGCUCUACGGUGCUCAGUCUUGGAGGUCACGAGAAGAGAAUUCUUUCUAGAUGGGAGGUCACCUCCAUACCCUGACUACUUUUCUUGCCUUGCCUGUUUUGGGCGUCUGCUACCUUAAAUGUUCAUACCACGUUGAGUGUCUUAUUCCACAAUGCAGUGUUUCUUCCUUUGCCCUUUUCU